GCGAAGAUAGUUUAAUUAAAACUCAGACUUUGGGAGUCUGAAAUGCUAUUUAUAUAGUUUUUCGAA
rnacentral:tRNA from 1 species